UUUGGAGUGGAAACAGCUUCGGACUUGACCGGAUUUAAUUAAUCCGACUGUUAUUACGGUGUUGUUUUUUUUUUUUUUUUCACAAUUACUUAGGUUCGGGACGUUCAAAAAGUCAUUCCGAGUCGCGGCCAACCGUUAAAAAUUACCUAACGUACAACAACAGUGGGGAAAUGCGGUUCGACGGGUCACGUGGGUUUUCCAUAGAAGAAGGGUCGCUCGACGGUCGUGUAGCGUGAGGUUAGAUGCAUUUUUCGGCUUGUUGGGCGGUAUGGUCCCGCCAGGUACGUCGACGGUGUUGCGGUCCCGGCGUCGCGAUGCAUCACUCAAGCCGAACCGCACUCUGGACCGCACCUCUUCCCGAGGGAUGUUGUAUGAAAACGAAGAGCUCCGUUUGCGCACCAUCAACAUCAACGCCGAGGUAGAAAAAGGUCAGUAUUAUAUUAAGAAACUUCGCCGAGAAAACCAACAGCUCAAAAGAGAGAUAUGGAAUUUGCGAGAAGAGUACGAACGGCUGGAGAACUACGUGAAAAGCAGAGAACAGUCGGAAAACGAAGAGGAAGAAGACGAAGGCAAAUUGAUAACGGACGAAGAACAGCAGCAGGAAAUAAGCAAACUCGACUCGUUUUUGUCCACCGUAAUCGAGGAAAAUGACCUGCAAGACCAAUUGCAGAUAAUAGAAGAAGAAAAAGAUAACACAUUCGACACCGGUGAACUGCAGGUACAGCCGGAAAUUUGUGCGCCGGUGGACGAAGUGAUCGAAGCCACCGACCCGGAGCUCAGGGACAAGUUGCGGGGCGUCCGGUUGGUGGACGACAGGUGUUAUAUGACGUUUGGGAGUGCCUAUUGUAUGGAAAAGGCCCUGCACACGACGCUGAAAAUCCGCGAAGUGCCGGUGCUGUUGAUGGACACCGGAGCCGGGGCCACUAUGCUGUCGCUGACGGGCGUACCGGAAACCGUCGCGGACAAAGAAGUGCUCAGGAAUCUCAAGAAGUACGGCACGAUUAUCGGUGGCGUGGAAAGGAAGACGUGCCGAGGGAUGUCCGGCGGUGAACGGUACGUGCGUGUGCGGUUGACGUUGGGCUCGCCCAGGUACCUGUGGUUCGGUUCGAACAAGGCCAUCGUCCGGCAGCUUACCGAGCACGAGACGGGCACGAUGAACAGCAUAGCCCGCAGAAAGUCGUUUAAAUCGCAAAUAAAGCUCAAUCUGAAAAUGGCAGAUCCGUCGACGUUGGGCAGUCCGAUACCGGACGAACAACAGGGCAAAGAGAACGGAACGGCCGCGUUGACGGCUGCCGCGCAGGCCACCACCCCGUCUGUCCAACAGAGCACGGCUUUCAGGUUUCCGUCGGAUCCGAAAAUCAACACCGCCGAACCGAGGGCCGUGUCCCGGGCCAGUAUCAAAUCUGUGACGGGGGCUGGUAAAAAAACAGCUGGCCAAGAAUCGCCGAUCAGAGGACGUCGGAGACCGUCGCUGAUGGGCUUUCGCCGGGAAACGAUCAAGCACAGAGGCGGCUCGUUGCCCAGGGGAGACGGCGAAGACGCGGAAAGCGACACCAGCACAAUAUGCCGGCGGAAGCUGAGCAUGACCGGCAGGGAGAAUACGGAAAAAGUGCCCUGGUGCGGAUGUUGGGGAAACGGAUGUUUGUAAACGGCUGUAGCUGUUUAUGAAUCGCCGUUAUGUCUCCUGUUACUUUUACUUACACACGUGUCUCUAUUACUUGAAAACUUCGGGUAAACAACAAUGAAUACACGCAUGUACGUUCGGUUGCCUAUCUCUUUUAGUUACAUAGUUACGUACAAACAUACAAACAAACAUACAUACAAGUGAAGCUAAUAUAAGCGUGUUAAAAACUACGAAGCGACGACGAAAGACAAUUAUCGGAAAGCCCAUUUCGGAUCCAUUUCGAAUGUUAAUCUGUUACGCUGUUAUCUGAUAUGAGAUAAGAGAUAUGUUGUACGUUCAACGUUCAAAAUAGAAAUGAAUAACAAAUUCAAAACAGUUUAAUUCUCCAUGUUAAUUUACUUUUGGCCAGAUAAUAAACGUUACAAUUUUAGCCAGAAACUUGAUUGUACAUAAUUGUUUAAUCUCCUUGGCCUUAUGCUGUAACUGGAAGCUCCAUGUAAUUUUUUUUUUUUUUAAUUAUAAUUCCACAACUAAUCUAAAUUUAUUCGGUACUUCAACGAGACAUGAAAAUGCUCUUUCGUGGUUGCAGACUCGGCUGACAAAUGGCUGAUUUUGUAUAUGUUGUUACUAUUGUAUUGCGUUUUUUUUAGUUUAUAAAAUAAAACGUUUAGCCGUGGUUGGAAUUAUUAUGAGCAAAUUUUGGUCACUCGGUUUUACUUCCUCGGAC